rnacentral:rRNA from 1 species
UCUCCUGGAAAACGGGUGGUAAUGCCGGAUGUUCCAGUUGAUCGCAUGGUCUUCUGGGAAAGCUUUCGCGGUAUGGGAUGGGGUCGCGUCCUAUCAGCUUGACGGCGGGGUAACGGCCCACCGUGGCUUCGACGGGUAGCCGGCCUGAGAGGGCGACCGGCCACAUUGGGACUGAGAUACGGCCCAGACUCCUACGGGAGGCAGCAGUGGGGAAUAUUGCACAAUGGGCGCAAGCCUGAUGCAGCGACGCCGCGUGAGGGAUGGAGGCCUUCGGGUUGUAAACCUCUUUUAUCGGGGAGCAAGCGUGAGUGAGUUUACCCGUUGAAUAAGCACCGGCUAACUACGUGCCAGCAGCCGCGGUAAUACGUAGGGUGCAAGCGUUAUCCGGAAUUAUUGGGCGUAAAGGGCUCGUAGGCGGUUCGUCGCGUCCGGUGUGAAAGUCCAUCGCUUAACGGUGGAUCCGCGCCGGGUACGGGCGGGCUUGAGUGCGGUAGGGGAGACUGGAAUUCCCGGUGUAACGGUGGAAUGUGUAGAUAU